NUAUGUNUNGGGUCUCAUUCCACGAGAUCCGUGCCGCAGCUAACGCAUUAAGUUCCCCGCCUGGGGAGUACGGCCGCNAGNCUAAAACUCAAAGGAAUUGNCGGGGGCCCGCAUCAAGCGGCGGAGCAUGCGGAUUNAUUCGAUGCAACGCGAAGAACCUUACCCAAGGCUUGACAUAUGCGAGAACGCGGCAGAGAUGUCGUUCUCUUUGGACACUCGUAUACAGGUGGUGCAUGGUUGUCGUCAGCUCGUGUCGUGAGAUGUUGGGUUAAGUCCCGCAACGAGCGCAACCCUCGUUCUAUGUUGCCAGCACGUGAUGGUGGGGACUCAUAGGAGACUGCCGGGGUCAACUCGGAGGAAGGUGGGGAUGACGUCAAAUCAUCAUGCCCCUUAUGUCUUGGGCUUCACGCAUGCUACNAUGGCCGGUACAAAGGGCUGCGAAACCGCGAGGUGGAGCGAAUCCCAAAAAACCGGUCUCAGUUCGGAUUGGGGUCUGCAACUCGACCCCAUGAAGUCGGAGUCGAUAGUAAUCGCAGAUCAGCNACGCUGCGGUGAAUACGUUNCCNGGGCCUUGUACACACCGCCCGUCCAAGUCAAGAAAGUCG
rnacentral:rRNA from 1 species